AGUACAUAACAUGUUGUAUACAUGUAAAAUAUGAUCGAUUUUGAAUAAAUAUAUGAAAUAUGUGAAAAUAGUUAAAAGCUAAAGAGGCAAUCCGUAGCCUCUGAAUAAAAGCUUUAAGAGGAAGCGAUAUAAAAUAAAGAAAAGUGUUAAAAAAUUAAUUUAAAAAGUAUUUGCAACGAGAAAUCAAAAGUGCCAAAAUGAAAAUUGAGUCAAAUCAAAAUAUUUAGCUUCAAAUAAAAUCAUCAGAAAAAGUGCUGUAAUGUUCCGGAAAUGCAUGCCUACAUAUACAUAUGUACGUGUACGUGUACAUCACCGCAAAGAAUAACUUCAAUCAACUACGACAACUUUAUUACCAUCAUGACUACAACACUCACAAUGUUCAGUUGCCAGCAGCUAGCAGUAAACGGGUAUAACGGAUCUGCAUCUGCAAGAAAUAUGGUGCAGGCACACACAGAGAAAAUCAUUGAAAACUGAAAUUAUGAAAUGAGCAAUCAUUGACACCAGAGAGCACUCAGCAGAACUGAAUUGAAUUGGAAAAAGAAGAAAAUUGUCAAAAAUGCAAAUUCACAUAUACAAAUGCAAUAAACGCAGAGCAAAAUAGCAGCGCUUUGGCGGCAGAAAUUGAUAGUCAGUAACAGCGACAAAAAUUUGUAGUGGCAAAAACAAAACCAAACAUUCGAUGCUCAGUUGCUGUGUAUGGAAAGCAUUCACAUGACAGCGAGAUGUGCUUUUAUAUGUAAGUAACAAAAAGGCAGUAAAUCAGUCAUAAAAAGAUGAAAUAACCAGGCCAUGAAUAAACAUUUUUCUUAUACAAUGCAUCCAUUAUAUUGCACAACACUGUAUAUGUAUAAAAGAGGUGUGCACACUUUUGGCCCGCAUAGCUGAGAAAUUCCCAAUUGUGCCAACAGCAGUUGCAUUCGCCUCGAGCAGCAGUAACUUUAACAAUAGCAGUGUGAAUGGGACAUAUGGAAAGCAACUGUUGCACUGACACUUUUAACUCACAAUCCGCUGCCGCUGCCACUGCCACUGACAUAGACACUGACACCAGCACUGGCAAUGUCGCCUGUCGCCUGUCGCUUGUCAUUUUUGUGUCAUUUGCCCACAGAGCGAUUUCGCAUUUGCAUAUUAAGUAUUUUACUGUGAAUUUUGCGCUUUGUUUUGUUUCUAACUGUGUUGAAUACUACCCGUUGAAUGCAUUGGAAAGCUGUGCAACUGAACGAGCGAACGAGA